rnacentral:tRNA from 7 species
GCGGGUGUAACUCAGCGGUAGAGUGCUUGCUUCCCAAGUAAGACGUCGCGGGUUCGAAUCCCGUCACCCGCUCCA